UACGUAGGUGGCAAGCGUUGUCCGGAUUUAUUGGGCGUAAAGCGCGCGUAGGUGGCCUCAUAAGUCCGCUGUGAAAGUCAAAGGCUCAACCUUUGAAAGCCGGUGGAUACUGUGAGGCUAGAGUACGGAAGAGGCGAGUGGAAUUCCUGGUGUAGCGGUGGAAUGCGCAGAUAUCAGGAGGAACACCAAUGGCGAAGGCAGAUCUCUGGGCCGUAACUGACGCUGAGGAGCGAAAGCAUGGGGAGCGAACAGG
rnacentral:rRNA from 1 species